CUCAGACAUGGCAGAACCACCAGCUAGCUGAGGUACUUCAGCACCUCUGAAAAGAAAGCAAGAGCUCUGUAUGGCAUACGGGGAGGGCUUUCAAUAGGUGACAGAACAUUCUUAGAACUUUGCUGCUUGUUACUCCCCAAGAGAAGAUUCAUCAAAUUGGAUGUAUCAGGUCAUAUAGUCAGAAGCAAGAUACAUCCAGCAUCAUCACCUAAAAAUGCAUAAUUGUCAAGUCAUUAUGGCCAUCUUGCAAAAGUUGUGGUAGUAAAAGCAAACUUAAUGACUUGAUGAAUAUGACCAGCAGCAUUGAAGAGUGAUCUUGCUGCCUCACUCCUAACUGGAUUUCUUCAGGCCUCAUUCCACUUUUGAACGCUGCUGUGCAGAAGUCAGACUUGAGAUCUUGUGCUUUAACUUCGUUGCACUUGGAAAUAGCAGUUUUGCUUUUGUGCAAGUCUAGUUUCAGCAUGAGGUGCCUCCUCAUCAAAAGCCAUUACCCUUAAUGGUAAGCUGUGCAUCAGUCUGCUCAAAGUAUCUCAGGGCAUUGGAGGACUUUACAGUAACUAAAAUGGUUGUGGCAGGCUAUGCACUGCCUGAGCUGCAGCUAAAAAGUACUUGAGAGUGCUUGGAGGUGCACAGACUGCUAGGACUGUCCUGGAGAGAGCAUCACAUCCACCACACACUGGGUAAGUGCUUGUUGCAGUGAACUGUAUCUCCAGAAAACUUCAAGGCAUUCUGAAGAGAAAUCUGGAAGGAACAUCACAAAACAGAGCCAGGAAGCAAGAAGAAUCAGGGAUCUAUUCCUUACCUUUAUUCCCUGGCCCUCUGGCAUGACUUCAGCAUACUUAGUACUCUAUAGCACGUUCAGUGAUCAAGAUAAAACAUCACCUUCAAGCUUGAUUCAGCAUAGUACCUUUGUGUCUGUAUGUACAUCAACAAAUGCAUGCAGACAUACAAAAAAAGUCUGGAUACAAAAUCAAGACCUGAACCAAAAGAAAACACUGAAGUCUUGGAAUAGCAUCAUAAAACAACCAGACAAUGAACCAUUUGUAUAACUUAUAAAUUAUUUUUCUAAUGUCUCAUUUAUAGAAAUAAGUGAUUUAGUUGUAGGAACUUCCAUUUACAAGGAGUGAAUGCAUAGUUUCUUUUGUUCAGCAUGCUAUUUUGGCAGUGAUACAGAAAUGCCUACUGAUGUUUCUCAAUUGCUGUCAGGUCUUUAAUAUUUCCAUACUUAAUGCCUAUCAUUGCGUCUUAUCACUUUUUUUUUUUUUUCCAUUACCCUAUACCCAAAUGCUGGCUUACCGAAAAGGUGAAUCACCCAUUCCCAGUUUUUGUGUAACAGAUAAGGGAAACAACUGAAGAUGAACGUGAGGCUGGUAUAUGUCAGUAAGCACUGCAAUGCAGGGAAGAUUUGGAAGUAUGCACUCAAAUAUUUCAUUUCCUGUGCUUGACUGGGAUCAGAGCAUUCAUAACCCCCUAAGUCUGCAAUCUGAGUUAGCGAAGUUAGAAACACAUUUUUUGUGUCCCAAAAUUUACUUUGUGAUAUGAAAAUAUCCCCUAUUUAUUUUCUUCUUGCAUGACAUUGCACAAGUCAUUGCAUAUAAUGAAUCAACUGGGAGGACAAACUUUUUCAAGCUCGGUCAGGGAGGCUCUGAGCUCCUUUUCUCUGAGUGCAAUAAGUGACCCUGCUCUGAAACACUGGAAAAGCGUUGAAAGCAAAACAAAGAAAUGUUUUCCAUUGCUUAGACUUAUGAGAGGUAUUUCUACCGUGGCAACAAGAGGCAUAGCUCAAAUCAAAGUCUGGAAACUAAAAAUAUUUUAAAAAAUUAAAAAUAGAAUUCCUGUGAAAUAAGUAUAACAAUUUUACUGGUCCUGAGGCAUUAAAAAAUGUCAUUUAACUUUCACUUUCUGAGUUGAUCAAUUGAUUGUUCACCUCCCAGUUUCUCUUCAUCUCACAGGAAGUUAGUGCUAUAGAGUGGUGUUUCUCAAAUAACUUCCCAAACAGAUUGUUUAACAUGUUGCCUUGUACAAAAUUCCAGUAGUAUUACCAUAUAU
rnacentral:lncRNA from 1 species